AACAAAGCCAAAAAAAUCUUCCUACAUAUCUUCAACAGAUUUCUAAUAGCAUUACUAAGUUAAAUAUGAAUUCAAAAAAAAAAAUUCAAACUAAACUAAAAACUGUUCCUCUAUCUUGCAGAAUAUUCUCAAUAGAAUUUUGGUUUAUUUUAGCUUAAAUUCUGCAGCAAAUAUAACACUUGUCAUCAAUUCCUCUGUUGGUGGUUAUGAUAUCGGAGUUACCCCAGGUUUUUCUAUCAUGAGGAGAUUCAUUUUGCUUCUCAGACCAGUCUCAUUGACUCAAAUAACCAUCAAACGGUGAUAGAUUCUCAACUGUAGUGCAACAUGAUUGAGUCGAAGAAUCCAAGGUCGAUUAGUCAUCAUUCUCAGUCUCAGUAGCAUGAAUUCAUUUUCUUCCUUUUGGGCAAAGAUAUUGAUGACCAUUGUGAUUACCCACCCUAAUAAUAGCAACCUCAGCCACUUUCAACUCACUCCCACAUAGAGGACUGGGGAAAAUCAAAUAACCAUUCCAAUGUAAUAACUGGAUAUCGAAGGACAUGGUUAACCUUGUCAUCUGAUUCCAAGUGUGACCCUUGUCCCAUAAAACAGAAAUCUUUAAU
rnacentral:lncRNA from 1 species